rnacentral:rRNA from 1 species
GAUGAACGCUGGCGGCGUGCCUAAUACAUGCAAGUCGAGCGAACGGACGAGAAGCUUGCUUCUCUGAUGUUAGCGGCGGACGGGUGAGUAACACGUGGAUAACCUACCUAUAAGACUGGGAUAACUUCGGGAAACCGGAGCUAAUACCGGAUAAUAUUUUGAACCGCAUGGUUCAAAAGUGAAAGACGGUCUUGCUGUCACUUAUAGAUGGAUCCGCGCUGCAUUAGCUAGUUGGUAAGGUAACGGCUUACCAAGGCAACGAUGCAUAGCCGACCUGAGAGGGUGAUCGGCCACACUGGAACUGAGACACGGUCCAGACUCCUACGGGAGGCAGCAGUAGGGAAUCUUCCGCAAUGGGCGAAAGCCUGACGGAGCAACGCCGCGUGAGUGAUGAAGGUCUUCGGAUCGUAAAACUCUGUUAUUAGGGAGGAACAUAUGUGUAAGUCACUGUGCACAUCUUGACGGUACCUAAUCAGAAAGCCACGGCUAACUACGUG